rnacentral:rRNA from 1 species
GGUUAAGCGACUAAGCGUACACGGUGGAUGCCCUGGCAGUCAGAGGCGAUGAAGGACGUGCUAAUCUGCGAAAAGCGUCGGUAAGGUGAUAUGAACCGUUACAGCCGGCGAUGUCCGAAUGGGGAAACCCAGUGCAAUUCGUUGCACUAUCGUUAACUGAAUACAUAGGUUAACGAGGCGAACCGGGGGAACUGAAACAUCUAAGUACCCCGAGGAAAAGAAAUCAACCGAGAUUCCCCCAGUAGCGGCGAGCGAACGGGGAGCAGCCCAGAGUCUGAAUCAGCUUGUGUGUUAGUGGAACGGUCUGGAAAGUCCGACGGUACAGGGUGAUAGUCCCGUACACCAAAAUGCACAGGCUGUGAACUCGAAGAGUAGGGCGGGACACGUGGUAUCCUGUCUGAAUAUGGGGGGACCAUCCUCCAAGGCUAAAUACUCCUGACUGACCGAUAGUGAACCAGUACCGUGAGGGAAAGGCGAAAAGAACCCCGGCGAGGGGAGUGAAAAAGAACCUGAAACCGUGUACGUACAAGCAGUGGGAGCACCUUCGGGUGUGACUGCGUACCUUUUGUAUAAUGGGUCAGCGACUUAUAUUCUGUAGCAAGGUUAACCGUAUAGGGGAGCCGCAGGGAAACCGAGUCUUAACUGGGCGUUAAGUUGCAGGGUAUAGACCCGAAACCCGGUGAUCUAGCCAUGGGCAGGUUGAAGGUUGGGUAACACUAACUGGAGGACCGAACCGACUAAUGUUGAAAAAUUAGCGGAUGACUUGUGGCUGGGGGUGAAAGGCCAAUCAAACCGGGAGAUAGCUGGUUCUCCCCGAAAGCUAUUUAGGUAGCGCCUCGUGAACUCAUCUUCGGGGGUAGAGCACUGUUUCGGCUAGGGGGUCAUCCCGACUUACCAACCCGAUGCAAACUACGAAUACCGAAGAAUGUUAUCACGGGAGACACACGGCGGGUGCUAACGUCCGUCGUGAAGAGGGAAACAACCCAGACCGCCAGCUAAGGUCCCAAAGUCAUGGUUAAGUGGGAAACGAUGUGGGAAGGCACAGACAGCCAGGAUGUUGGCUUAGAAGCAGCCAUCAUUUAAAGAAAGCGUAAUAGCUCACUGGUCGAGUCGGCCUGCGCGGAAGAUGUAACGGGGCUAAACCAUGCACCGAAGCUGCGGCAGCGACACUAUGUGUUGUUGGGUAGGGGAGCGUUCUGUAAGCCUGCGAAGGUGACCUGUGAGGGUUGCUGGAGGUAUCAGAAGUGCGAAUGCUGACAUAAGUAACGAUAAAGCGGGUGAAAAGCCCGCUCGCCGGAAGACCAAGGGUUCCUGUCCAACGUUAAUCGGGGCAGGGUGAGUCGACCCCUAAGGCGAGGCCGAAAGGCGUAGUCGAUGGGAAACAGGUUAAUAUUCCUGUACUUGGUGUUACUGCGAAGGGGGGACGGAGAAGGCUAUGUUAGCCGGGCGACGGUUGUCCCGGUUUAAGCAUGUAGGCUGGUUAUCCAGGCAAAUCCGGAUAAUCAAGGCUGAGGUGUGAUGACGAGGUACUACGGUGCUGAAGUAACAAAUGCCCUGCUUCCAGGAAAAGCCUCUAAGCAUCAGGUAACAUCAAAUCGUACCCCAAACCGACACAGGUGGUCAGGUAGAGAAUACCAAGGCGCUUGAGAGAACUCGGGUGAAGGAACUAGGCAAAAUGGUGCCGUAACUUCGGGAGAAGGCACGCUGGUGUGUAGGUGAAGUCCCUGCGGAUGGAGCUGAGACCAGUCGAAGAUACCAGCUGGCUGCAACUGUUUAUUAAAAACACAGCACUGUGCAAACACGAAAGUGGACGUAUACGGUGUGACGCCUGCCCGGUGCCGGAAGGUUAAUUGAUGGGGUUAUCCGUAAGGAGAAGCUCUUGAUCGAAGCCCCGGUAAACGGCGGCCGUAACUAUAACGGUCCUAAGGUAGCGAAAUUCCUUGUCGGGUAAGUUCCGACCUGCACGAAUGGCGUAAUGAUGGCCAGGCUGUCUCCACCCGAGACUCAGUGAAAUUGAACUCGCUGUGAAGAUGCAGUGUACCCGCGGCAAGACGGAAAGACCCCGUGAACCUUUACUAUAGCUUGACACUGAACAUUGAGCCUUGAUGUGUAGGAUAGGUGGGAGGCUUUGAAGCGUGGACGCCAGUCUGCGUGGAGCCAACCUUGAAAUACCACCCUUUAAUGUUUGAUGUUCUAACGUGGGCCCCUGACCGGGGUUGCGGACAGUGUCUGGUGGGUAGUUUGACUGGGGCGGUCUCCUCCCAAAGCGUAACGGAGGAGCACGAAGGUUAGCUAAUCCUGGUCGGACAUCAGGAGGUUAGUGCAAUGGCAUAAGCUAGCUUGACUGCGAGCGUGACGGCGCGAGCAGGUGCGAAAGCAGGUCAUAGUGAUCCGGUGGUUCUGAAUGGAAGGGCCAUCGCUCAACGGAUAAAAGGUACUCCGGGGAUAACAGGCUGAUACCGCCCAAGAGUUCAUAUCGACGGCGGUGUUUGGCACCUCGAUGUCGGCUCAUCACAUCCUGGGGCUGAAGUAGGUCCCAAGGGUAUGGCUGUUCGCCAUUUAAAGUGGUACGCGAGCUGGGUUUAGAACGUCGUGAGACAGUUCGGUCCCUAUCUGCCGUGGGCGCUGGAGAAUUGAGGGGGGCUGCUCCUAGUACGAGAGGACCGGAGUGGACGCAUCACUGGUGUUCGGGUUGUCAUGCCAAUGGCACUGCCCGGUAGCUAAAUGCGGAAGAGAUAAGUGCUGAAAGCAUCUAAGCACGAAACUUGCCCCGAGAUGAGUUCUCCCUGAGACUUUAAGUCUCCUGAAGGAACGUUGAAGACGACGACGUUGAUAGGCCGGGUGUGUAAGCGCAGCGAUGCGUUGAGCUAACCGGUACUAAUGAACCGUGAGGCUUAACCUU